UUUGGUGGUCAUAGCGAGAGCAAAACACCCGGCUCCAUUCCGAACCCGGCCGUUAAGUGCCUUAGCGCCGAUGGUACUGCGUCUCAAGACGUGGGAGAGUAGGUCGCCGCCAAAC
rnacentral:rRNA from 2 species